rnacentral:rRNA from 1 species
AUACGGAGGGUGCAAGCGUUAAUCGGAAUUACUGGGCGUAAAGCGUACGUAGGCGGUUUAUUUAGUCAGAUGUGAAAGCCCCGGGCUUAACCUGGGAACUGCAUUUGAAACUAGUAGACUAGAGUAUGGUAGAGGGGGGUAGAAUUCCUAGUGUAGCGGUGAAAUGCGUAGAUAUUAGGAGGAAUACCAGUGGCGAAGGCGGCCCCCUGGACCAAUACUGACGCUGAGGUACGAAAGCGUGGGGAGCGAACAGGAUUAGAAACCCCGGUAGUCC